GGUUGCCACACAAACUAAAGAAGAGGUUAUGUUUGUGUCUAUUUUUCAAUGAUUUUUCAUUGUUUAUCGUCGUAUUUUGGAUUCAUUUGGAUUUCGUUUCCUGUUUUUGUGAACUUUAUAAACUUUACCACAAUGCGAACUGAUUAUUUAAGGAAAUUAUUAUUGGAAACUCCAGAUGUUGGGAGAAAGAUAUUUAUUGAAGCUGAAAAUAAUUGGGGAUUUAGAUCCAUACGGAAUUGAGUCAGAAUUGGAUUUUACAGUAAAGUGCAGUCCAUCAAGUUACUAUUAUAGAUAUGUAUUUAUACAGAUCUGGUGGAGUCUCACAGUUGCUACUCUAAGCAGCAGAUGAAAGCAUACAAAAGCCUUCAGGCACAUAAAUAUUUUACAGCUGGAUUUGUUUUGAAUGGAGUAAAAAUUGUUAAUGAUUUCCUGAUUUCCAUAUUAUUGUUGGAAAGGUGAAGCAUUUCCAAAAAGCUAAUGCUAAACGACUAAAUGCUUGGGUGGGGUGAUAGCCAGUUCUGAUGACAUAGCAAAUGCACAUUGUAUGCGUAUGGCCGGUAAUAGUGAAGUCUGCAGCCAUAUUGCAGCAAUAUAUAUUGCUGACCUGUAAAAGUACAUUUGUACAUUAUUACCAAUAAAUACUCUACUCUACUCUACUCUACUCUAAUCCUAUUUUUAGCUGAGUAUGCCCAGAGCAAGACAGACGAAGAAGAACCCAAUGCAUGUACAUAUGUUACAGCUACAUGGUUUGGAGAUAGCAACAUAUGCAUUCUCUGAUGAAAAACUAAUGAGUUUUGAAACUGUUCGGUCAGAGUGCUUGUUGCGCUCACUAAACGAACUGAAAUAUAAGAAGUCUUUGGCAUUGUGUUGCAGCGAUAUGAAAAUGGUUAUUCAUUUUUAAUUAUAAUGUACUUCUUCAUCAUGAGUAAUUAUGUAUUGGUCUUUUAGAUGUGUAUUUAUUUUUGUAAUUAGUAUCAACUUGUAAUGAUAAUAUACAUUUAUCGUUUAAGGUACGACUAUGUUUUGACUCUAAAAUAAAUGUUUUAAAAAUCGAA
rnacentral:lncRNA from 1 species